UACUCUAUAUCUGGUCCAUUAUCUCUUCUACAUACUCUAUAUCUGGUCCAUUAUCUCUUCUGCAUACUCUAUAUCUGGUCCAUUAUCUCUUCUACAUAAUAUAUAUCUGGUCCAUUAUCUCUUCUACAUAAUAUAUAUCUGGUCCAUUAUCUCUUCUACAUACUCUACAUCUGGUCCAUUAUCUCUUCUGCAUACUCUAUAUCUGGUCCAUUAUCUCUUCUACAUAAUAUAUAUCUGGUCCAUUAUCUAUUCUACAUAAUAUAUAUCUGGUCCAUUAUCUCUUCUACAUACUCUACAUCUGGUCCAUUAUCUCUUCUGCAUACUCUAU
ensembl:lncRNA